rfam:Subdoligranulum sp. 4_3_54A2FAA genomic scaffold supercont1.5, whole genome shotgun sequence.
AACAGCAGAGAUAAAAACACAGCGCGGUCGGUAGUCCGCGCGCGGGGUGCAUGCCCUGUCAGUAACCUUCCCUCCCGGGUCGUCCGUUCCCUGCAAGGAUUUU